ensembl:lncRNA
UGUUUACAGUGAAUCUUCCUCGGUAUGUCCACUCCCGCGUCUCCGUCCCCAGGGUGAGCAGCAGCAGCAGGCGUUCCUCCUCACCCCUCCGCCGUCCCCACCUUCCCAGGAGACGCCCCAAGACCAGCAGGUAGCAGACAGUGCAACAGCAAAUGGAAAAGGAGAGAAAAAUUACCAGGGGAAAGAGACAAGAGAAACCGACUCCGUCCUCCUCAUUUACGGCAGGCGGGCCAGAAUCAGAAGGGAGAUGCCAUCACCUAAAUGAAUUUGG